rnacentral:rRNA from 1 species
GGCCAGACUCCUACGGGAGGCAGCAGUGGGGAAUAUUGGGCAAUGGGCGCAAGCCUGACCCAGCAACGCCGCGUGAAGGAAGAAGGCUUUCGGGUUGUAAACUUCUUUUGACAGGGAAGAGCAGAAGACGGUACCUGUCGAAUAAGCCACGGCUAACUACGUGCCAGCAGCCGCGGUAAUACGUAGGUGGCAAGCGUUGUCCGGAUUUACUGGGUGUAAAGGGCGUGUAGCCGGGCUUACAAGUCAGAUGUGAAAUCCGGGGGCUCAACCCCCGAACUGCAUUUGAAACUGUUUUUCUUGAGUAUCGGAGAGGUAAUCGGAAUUCCUAGUGUAGCGGUGAAAUGCGUAGAUAUUAGGAAGAACACCAGUGGCGAAGGCGGAUUACUGGACGACAACUGACGGUGAGGCGCGAAAGCGUGGGGAGCAAACAGGAUUAGAUACCCCAGUA